UGGGGGAAUUUUGGACAAUGGGCGAAAGCCUGAUCCAGCAAUGCCGCGUGUGUGAAGAAGGCCUUCGGGUUGUAAAGCACUUUUGUCCGGAAAGAAAUCCUUGGCUCUAAUACAGUCGGGGGAUGACGGUACCGGAAGAAUAAGCACCGGCUAACUACGUGCCAGCAGCCGCGGUAAUACGUAGGGUGCAAGCGUUAAUCGGAAUUACUGGGCGUAAAGCGUGCGCAGGCGGUUUGCUAAGACCGAUGUGAAAUCCCCGGGCUCAACCUGGGAACUGCAUUGGUGACUGGCAGGCUAGAGUAUGGCAGAGGGGGGUUAGAAUUCCACGUGUANCAGUGAAAUGCGUAGAGAUGUGGAGGAAUACCGAUGGCGAAGGCAGCCCCCCUGGGCCAAUACUGACGCUCAUGCACGAAAGCGUGGGGGAGCAAAACAGGAUUAGAUACCCCUGGUAGUCCACGCCCUAAACGAUGUCAACUAGUUGUUGGGGAUUCAUUUCCUUAGUAACGUAGCUAACGCGUGAAGUUGACCGCCU
rnacentral:rRNA from 1 species